UACUGAGUGGCGGACGGGUGAGUAUAAUGUGGGUAUCUACCCAUUGGUUUGGAAUAACACGGGGAAACUUGUGCUAAUACCGGAUAAGCCCUUACGGGGAAAGCUUUAUGCGCCAAAGGAUGAGCCCGCACUUGAUUAGCUUGUUGGUGAGGUAAAAGCUUACCAAGGCAACGAUCAAUAGCUGAUCUGAGAGGAUGAUCAGCCACAUUGGGACUGAGACACGGCCCAAACUCCUACGGGAGGCAGCAGUGGGGAAUCUUGCACAAUGGGGGAAACCCUGAUGCAGCGAUGCCGCGUGAGUGAAGAAGGCCUUUGGGUUGUAAAGCUCUUUCGUCGGGGAAGAAAAUGACUGUACCCGAAUAAGAAGGUCCGGCUAACUUCGUGCCAGCAGCCGCGGUAAUACGAAGGGACCUAGCGUGGUUCGGAAUUACUGGGCUUAAAGAGCUCGUAGGUGGUUAGAAAAGUUAGUGGUGAAAGCCCAAGGCUUAACCUUGGAACUGCCACUAAAACUUUUUGACUAGAGUAUGAUAGAGGUAAGCGGAAUUUCUAGUGUAGAGGUGAAAUUCGUAGAUAUUAGAAAGAACACCAAUUGCGAAGGCAGCUUUCUGGAUCAUUACUGACACUGAGGAGCGAAAGCAUGGGUAGCGAAGAGGAUUAGAUACCCUCGUAGUCCAUGCUGUAAACGAUGUGUGCUAGACGUUGGAAAUUUAUUUUCAGUGUCGCAGCAAAAGCGUUAAGCACACCGCCUGGGGAGUACGACCGCAAGGUUUAAACUCAAAUGAAUUGACGGGGACCCGCACAAGUAG
rnacentral:rRNA from 1 species